CCUACGGGCGGCAGCAGUGGGGAAUAUUGGACAAUGGGCGAAAGCCUGAUCCAGCCAUGCCGCGUGUGUGAAGAAGGCCUUCGGGUUGUAAAGCACUUUCAGUGGGGAAGAAAGCCUUGGGGCGAAUACCCUCGAGGAAGGACAUCACCCACAGAAGAAGCACCGGCUAACUCCGUGCCAGCAGCCGCGGUAAUACGGAGGGUGCGAGCGUUAAUCGGAAUUACUGGGCGUAAAGCGCGCGUAGGCGGUCUGAUAAGCCGGUUGUGAAAGCCCCGGGCUCAACCUGGGAACGGCAUCCGGAACUGUCAGGCUAGAGUGCAGGAGAGGAAGGUAGAAUUCCCGGUGUAGCGGUGAAAUGCGUAGAGAUCGGGAGGAAUACCAGUGGCGAAGGCGGCCUUCUGGACUGACACUGACGCUGAGGUGCGAAAGCGUGGGUAGCAAACAGGAUUAGAUACCCCAGUAGUC
rnacentral:rRNA from 1 species